CCUGAACGCUGGCGGCGUGGCUAAGACAUGCAAGUCGUACGGAUGGAGCAAUCCAUCAGUGGCGGACGGGUGAGUAAUGUAUCGCUAAUGUACCCCUUACUCUGGGAUAGCCGGGGGAAACUCCGGGUAAUACCAGAUGACAUAUCCGAAAGGCAUCUUUUGGAUCUCAAAGGGCAACCGGUGAGGGCGCAGGCGAUAUCGUAUCAGGUAGUUGGUGAGGUAACGGCUCACCAAGCCGACGACGCGUAGCUGGUCUGAGAGGACGGCCAGCCACAUUGGGACUGAGAGACGGCCCAGACUCCUACGGGAGGCAGCAGUGGGGAAUCUUGCGCAAUGGCCGAAAGGCUGACGCAGCGACGCCGCGU
rnacentral:rRNA from 1 species